UGGUGAGAGAAAUAAAUGAACACAUUCAAGAAGCUCAGAGAAUCCCAAAGAGGAUAAACUUAAAGAAAACCACACUGAGAAACAUAAUAACCAAAUUCUUGAAAACCAAAGAAAACAUCUUGGAAGCAGCUAGAGAAAAACAACACGUUACACCCACGAAACGAUGAUUCAGAGGCUUGACGUAUGCUGUUGGAAACCACGAGGACCAGACGCCGUGGAGCAGCGUCUCUAAGUGCUGAGAGAAAAGCACUGUCAGGCCAGAGCUCCAUUUCCCAUGACUAUUUCUUUCUGGAAUGAAGGAAAACGAAGAUAAUCGCAGAUGAAGGAAAACUAAGAGGGUAUACCACCUGCAGACCUUCCCACCAGAAAUGGUGCAGGAGUUCCAGGCUGAUGGGCAGUGGCACCAGGAGGAGACAGAGUGGUGAUUCCCGGAGUAAAUAUCCAGGGUCCUCUCUGUCAGUCUGGGUUCCCCUUGUGGCAAGUGGAGUUUGGAAACCUCAAGACUCCAAGCUUCUCAUGUGUGGAUGAAGACACAAGACUCCGGACCCCCUGCCAGACAAGGAAACCGAGGCCCAGAGAGAGGCAGCAACUUGUCGGGGGUCACACAGUACAAGCAGCGUCAGUCUGAGUCCCUGGGCCCGUGGCCCCAGACCCCCUCCUGCCCUGCUGCGGAGCACGGCCACCUGGGAGACACAGCCCUGGGCGGGGCCACCUGUUGGCCGCCUGGGGCCAAGAACAUUCCAGAUGCCUACAGGCUUGGCUGCGUCUACACUGUACUGGACCCAUCCACAGCCAGUUCUGAGCAGACAGCCAGCUACCUCGUCGGCGUGGCUGCCUCGUGGGAGCGGGGCGUGUGGAGUGGCAGUGCAUGUGGUGUGUGGGACCUGCUCAGAAAGUUCCUAAUUCCUGCAAGUGCACAAGCCUCUGGUGUCUGUUGCCACGGAGUUUGGAAGGCCACGGUGGCCAUGGGGUGCGUGAUGGUUGAUUUCAUGUCGACGGGCCCGGCCUCGGUGCCCACGUGUUCGGUCACCAAACAGCAGUCUAGGGGUUGCCCUGGAGGUAUUUUCAGACAUGAUUAACACUUAAACUGACUGAGUUUGAGUAAACAGGCUGAGCCUUCUGCAAGCCGCUGAGGCCUUUGGAACGAAGACGGGGGUUCAGACACCCUGCCCGAGUGUCAAGCCUGCGGGGCUGCCCGGCAGAUGGACAGAUCUCUCCGUCUUCCCAUCCAGAAAGACAACCAGGUGGACAGCCGGGGGGCCGGCGGUGGGUAGAGACAGACUGACCACAUCCGUCUGUCCCCAGGAGCCUGAUGGACACAGGGAGACACAAAGGGUGUCUCAAGCUUUCCAAACCUGCCCACCCGUCCUUGGAGACGCAAGUCUGGAAGCCGGGGGGUGGGGGGCACAGUCUCGCUCACGGUUGGAGCAGCUUAGAACAACGCCUGGUUACCCCAGUUUGUGCCUCCCCCUUUCUCCGAGAUCCCAGAUCUCCUACACAGUCCUCAACAGUCGCAACCUCCCCCUUCUCCACCUGAAUCCUGCCAGGUCCUCCCCAGCGGUGCCCUUCCAGCACAGCCGUGGCCCCAGGUGUGGGCAGCGAAGACAGGGGAGCACCGCUACAGGACGGCUUCUCCCGUGUUCGCCCACGUGCCCGGGUGGCCGGACAAAUACCUGGCUCUGGGGGCGUGAAUCACAGGACGCUCCUGUGUCAUACCUACACUGCCUGGCAAACCCGGGGCAAAGCACUAAAUGCUUUCUUUUCAGCCAGCCCAGCCGUGUGGGGCCAAUAAAAGCCAAGUGAGAGGUCUGCAGUGCGUGUGUGAAGUCCUCCCCCGGGGGGGGGGCCCCCAGCAGCUGGGGGUGGGGGGCGGGGAGCCCACAGCCUGAUUCCUCCGGACCUGGGAUCUGUGCCUCCAUCCACACCUGAGUUCUGCUUUCCAAAAUGUUCCAGAGCCACUUUUUAAAUAAAAGCAACCUUGCAGCUGGUUUAACAUUCAGACUUGAGACGAGCACCGAUCACGCCUCCCAACCCCACCCCGCACACCGCCAACCGCCUCAGCUGCCCUUGCUCCACAGCCUGU